GAUGAACGCUGGCGGCGUGCCUAACACAUGCAAGUCGAGCGAACCCUUCGGGGUGAGCGGCGGACGGGUGAGUAACGCGUGGGUAACCUGCCCUGUACACACGGAUAACAUACCGAAAGGUAUGCUAAUACGGGAUGAUAUAUGAGAGUCGCAUGGCUUUUGUAUCAAAGCUCCGGCGGUACAGGAUGGACCCGCGUCUGAUUAGCUAGUUGGUAAGGUAACGGCUUACCAAGGCAACGAUCAGUAGCCGACCUGAGAGGGUGAUCGGCCACAUUGGAACUGAGACACGUCCAAACUCCUACGGGAGGCAGCAGUGGGGAAUAUUGCACAAUGGGCGAAAGCCUGAUGCAGCAACGCCGCGUGAGCGAUGAAGGCCUUCGGGUCGUAAAGCUCUGUCCUCAAGGAAGAUAAUGACGGUACUUGAGGAGGAAGCCCCGGCUAACUACGUGCCAGCCGCCGCUGUAAUAC
rnacentral:rRNA from 1 species